GAGGAGCCUCGGGCCUGUGCGUCCUCCUUUCAGUGCACGCGCAAAAGAGGCCGGGCCUGCCUGAGCACUAAGUUUUUGUAAAACUUAAAGGGGCAGCGGCAGUGUGUAGUUGCUUCCUCGACCAAAACAGGGCAGAGUGUUGAUAGCGUGCGCGCGCCCAGCUGAAGCCAAGUGAGACGCUAACAAGGAAAAGUCCAAAGUGCGCCUCGCUAUGCUCCAAAUUCCAUGCUCAGGAGGCUGCCAGUAACCAAGUGAUAAAGUGGCAUUGCAUGUAAAAUAAAACAGUUUGCACGAUUUAAUCGAAAGAACAGGGCCAUGGGUUGGAGCAUCCUGGCUGGGUAGGCGGGGUGACACGGGACUCUUGGGGACGCGAGCUGCACACCUGCGGCGCUAGGGCCGCGUGAACUGGUCUGCGCCUCAGUCCCGGCGCGCACGCGAUCGAGAAACGGAA
rnacentral:lncRNA from 1 species